UGGCGGACGGGUGAGUAAUGUCUGGGAAACUGCCUGAUGGAGGGGGAUAACUACUGGAAACGGUAGCUAAUACCGCAUAACGUCGCAAGACCAAAGAGGGGGACCUUCGGGCCUCUUGCCAUCGGAUGUGCCCAGAUGGGAUUAGCUAGUAGGUGGGGUAAAGGCUCACCUAGGCGACGAUCCCUAGCUGGUCUGAGAGGAUGACCAGCCACACUGGAACUGGGACACGGUCCAG
rnacentral:rRNA from 1 species